CCGCUCUCCGGCCGCGCCGCGCCCUGGGCUCAGCCGACCCGGCUUUGUCUGCUCCUUAACUGGAGAUCGAAACCCGCCGGGCUGCGGGGUCUCUCCCGCGCCGCGAGGGGUGCGGGUGGCGAGUCCUACCCUGGAUGCGCUCCCAGGAGAGGUCACCAGAGCGGUGGGGAAGUGGGCACAGAGCUCUCCCAAGUGACCGGGACACAGAGCGAUUGGCUGUCCUUGUUUAAAGAGGAAAAUUGAAGGAAAAUGGUCAACUCAAUGAAGAGGAAGGUGAAGGAGGAGGAGAGAAGGUGAUGAAGGAGCUGAUUACACCAAGUAACAAACCCAAGAAACAGAAAACAGCCUUGUGCUUGCUUCUGGGGUGGGUGGAGAAGUGGCCCAGCUUCCCUCAGCACCACGCCACCCUCUUGACUCCCUUGUUGUAUGUCUUGAGACACUGAGAUCCCCAGCCAGCAAGCAAGUAUAUUCCCUAUACAAAGGCAAGAAAGCGGAUCUAAGUAUGGGAUGGAGAACUGGGUCCCUAUCUUCUUUUUUGAAGGUAUAACAUACCUGCAAUAAACUGCACCCAUUUUAAGUUUAAAAUGUGAUACCUUUUGACAACUGUGCAAAACAUUUCCAUCACUCCAAAAAGUUCCCCUGUGCCUUUUGCAGUCCGUCACCUCCCCCUCCCCAGCCACUGGCACCCACAGAUCUAAUUUAUGUUCCUGUUUUGCCUUUUCCAGAAAGUCAUAAAAACGAAGUUGUACAGGACAUAGCCCUUUGUGUCUGGCUUUUUACACUUAGAAUAAUGCUUUUUAGAUUCGUCCACACUGUUGCAUGCAUCUAUAGUUUGUUUCUUUCUAUUGCUGAGUAUUCCGUUGUGUGGAGACACUACAAUUUGUUUAUCCAUCUGUCAGUUGAUGGACAUUGGGGUUGUUUCCAGCUUUCAGUGAUUAUGAAUAAAGCUGCAUUCAAGUCAUUGUUUAGACAUGCUUUCGUCUCUCUCAGGUAAAUACUUAGGAGUGGGGUUGUUGAGUCCUAUGUAAGUGUAUGCUUAACUUCAGAAGAAACUGCCCAACUGUUUUACAAUGGCUGGACCAUUUUGCAUUCCCACCAACAAUGUAUAAAAGACCAGCUGCAGAUGGCUAUAAUAAUAAAAAACAAAAUAAACAAACAAACAAAAAACAGAAAACUAGCAAGUAUUGGUAAGGAUGUGGAGAAAUCUGGUGAUUUCUUAAUAAGUUAAUUAUAGAAUGAUCACAUGACCCAGCAA